CGGUUAAGUUAGAAAGGGCGCACGGUGGAUGCCUUGGCACUAGGAGCCGAUGAAGGACGGGACGAACACCGAUAUGCUUCGGGGAGCUGUAAGCAAGCUUUGAUCCGGAGAUUUCCGAAUGGGGAAACCCACCACUCGUAAUGGAGUGGUAUCCAUAUCUGAAUACAUAGGAUAUGAAGGCAGACCCGGGAACUGAAACAUCUAAGUACCCGGAGGAAGAAAGCAAAUGCGAUUCCCUGAGUAGCGGCGAGCGAAACGGGACCAGCCCAAACCAAGAGGCUUGCCUCUUGGGGUUGUAGAACACUCUGUACGGAGUUACAAAGGAACGAGGUAGAUGAAGAGGUCUGGAAAGGCCCGCCAUAGGAGGUAACAGCCCUGUAGUCAAAACUUCGUUCUCUCCUGAGUGGAUCCUGAGUACGGCGGAACGUGAAAUUCCGUCGGAAUCCGGGAGGACCAUCUCCCAAGGCUAAAUACUAGUGACCGAUAGUGAACCAGUACCGUGAGGGAAAGGUGAAAAGCACCCCGGAAGGGGAGUGAAAAGAUCCUGAAACCGUGUGCCUACAAGUAGUCAGAGCCCGUUAACGGGUGAUGGCGUGCCUUUGUAGAAUGAACCGGCGAGUUACGAUCCCGUGCAAGGUUAAGCAGAAGAUGCGGAGCCGCAGCGAAAGCGAGUCUGAAUAGGGCGAAUUGAGUACGUGGUCGUAGACCCGAAACCAGGUGAUCUACCCAUGUCCAGGGUGAAGUUCAGGUAACACUGAAUGGAGGCCCGAACCCACGUUGAAAAGUGCGGGGAUGAGGUGUGGUAGGGGUGAAAUGCCAAUCGAACCUGGAGAUAGCUGGUUCUCUCCGAAAUAGCUUUAGGGCUAGCCUCAAGGUAAGAGUCUCGGGUAGAGCACUGAUUGGACUGAGGCCCCUACCGGGUUACCGAAUUCAGUCAAACUCCGAAUGCCGAUGACUUAUCCUUGGGAGUCAGACUGCGAGUGAUAAGAUCCGUAGUCGAAAGGAAACAGCCCAGACCGCCAGCUAAGGUCCCAAAGUAUACGUUAAGUGGAAAGGAUGUGGAGUUGCUUAGACAACCAGGAUGUUGGCAGAAGCAGCCACCAUUUAAAGUGCGUAAUAGCUCACUGGUCGAGUGACUCUGCGCCGAAAAUGUACCGGGGCUAAACGUAUCACCGAAGCUGCGGACUGUUCUUCGAACAGUGGUAGGAGAGCGUUCUAAGGGCUGUGAAGCAAGACCGGAAGGACUUGUGGAGCUUAGAAGUGAGAAUGCCGGUAUGAGUAGCGAAAGAGGGGUGAGAAUCCCCUCCACCGAAUGCCUAAGGUUUCCUGAGGAAGGCUCGUCCGCUCAGGGUUAGUCGGGACCUAAGCCGAGGCCGAAAGGCGUAGGCGAUGGAUAACAGGUUGAUAUUCCUGUACCACCUCACCAUUUGAGCAAUGGGGGACGCAGGAGGAUAGGGUAAGCGCGGUAUUGGAUAUCCGCGUCCAAGCAGUUAGGCUGGGAAAUAGGCAAAUCCGUUUCCCGUGAAGGCUGAGCUGUGAUGGCGAGCGAAUUAUAGUAGCGAAGUUCCUGAUUCCACACUGCCAAGAAAAGCCUCUAGCGAGGUGAGAGGUGCCCGUACCGCAAACCGACACAGGUAGGCGAGAGAAUCCUAAGGUGAUCGAGAACUCUCGUUAAGGAACUCGGCAAAAUGACCCCGUAACUUCGGGAGAAGGGGUGCUCUGUUAGGGUGCAAGCCCGAGAGAGCCGCAGUGAAUAGGCCCAGGCGACUGUUUAGCAAAACACAGGUCUCUGCGAAGCCGUAAGGCGAAGUAUGAGAACUGACGCCUGCCCGGUGCUGGAAGGUUAAGAGAGCGCUUAGCGUAAGCGAAGGUGCGAAUUGAAGCCCCAGUAAACGGCGGCCGUAACUAUAACGGUCCUAAGGUAGCGAAAUUCCUUGUCGGGUAAGUUCCGACCCGCACGAAAGGCGCAACGAUCUGGGCACUGUCUCAACGAGAGACUCGGUGAAAUUAUAGUACCUGUGAAGAUGCAGGUUACCCGCGACAGGACGGAAAGACCCGUGGAGCUUUACUGCAGCCUGAUAUUGAAUGUUGGUACAGCUUGUACAGGAUAGGUAGGAGCCUUGGAAACCGGAGCGCCAGCUUCGGUGGAGGCAUCGGUGGGAUACUACCCUGGCUGUAUUGACCUUCUAACCCGCCGCCCUUAUCGGGCGGGGGAGACAGUGUCAGGUGGGCAGUUUGACUGGGGCGGUCGCCUCCCUAAAAAUCGGAGGCGCCCAAAGGUUCCCUCAGAAUGGUUGGAAAUCAUUCGCAGAGUGUAAAGGCACAAGGGAGCUUGACUGCGAGACCUACAAGUCGAGCAGGGACGAAAGUCGGGCUUAGUGAUCCGGUGGUUCCGCAUGGAAGGGCCAUCGCUCAACGGAUAAAAGCUACCCCGGGGAUAACAGGCUUAUCUCCCCCAAGAGUCCACAUCGACGGGGAGGUUUGGCACCUCGAUGUCGGCUCAUCGCAUCCUGGGGCUGUAGUCGGUCCCAAGGGUUGGGCUGUUCGCCCAUUAAAGCGGUACGCGAGCUGGGUUCAGAACGUCGUGAGACAGUUCGGUCCCUAUCCGUCGCGGGCGCAGGAAAUUUGAGAGGAGCUGUCCUUAGUACGAGAGGACCGGGAUGGACGCACCGCUGGUGUACCAGUUGUUCUGCCAAGGGCAUCGCUGGGUAGCUAUGUGCGGACGGGAUAAGUGCUGAAAGCAUCUAAGCAUGAAGCCCCCCUCAAGAUGAGAUUUCCCAUUCCGCAAGGAAGUAAGAUCCCUGAAAGAUGAUCAGGUUGAUAGGUCUGAGGUGGAAGUGUGGCGACACAUGGAGCUGACAGAUACUAAUCGAUCGAGGACUUAACCAAUUU
rnacentral:rRNA from 1 species